rnacentral:misc_RNA from 1 species
UGUGUCCGAGGGAGCUACAGGUGAGCAUGAGGGAGCUACAAGUAAUGGUCACUGUCGGUAAAGCCUCUAGUAUUCACCUAGUUGUGCUUGUGGGGGGUUGAGCUCAACAGAAGGCGUUAUGGCGCUUCCAAGCUACUAGAUAUGUACGAGGGUGCAUCAGUACAACGGCACUGCAGCUAUGGUUAACCAUAUACAAGAAAUUUGUCUCGUACAACGGCACUGCAGGUAUGGAGAGAAUAAAGUUACUUGCAAAAACUUCUCACGAAUUGCAGUUGGUCAUUAUGUAGUAGAUACAUAUUCGCACCCAAGUACAAUAAGUGAAGGGAACAAGUCCAAUAAUUUUAAUAGGUACACACUAUUCCUUGAAGCGGUGAUCUUCUAAUAGGUAUAGUCUAAAGUGCUCCAUGUGUUAACCACUUCAGAGUGGUAAACAAAAAACCAGGCCCAUAAUAUGAACAUUUAAUUGUGGUGUAUCAUACGGUUAAUGUUGCGCUAACAAUUUUGGUUACAUUUCAAUCCUCUUCCCCUCCCUUCCCUAUCUCUAUCCAUACUUUUGUUAGUCUGUCGUCCUCACUGCGUCUGUCGAAGCAGUGAGGACAAUCUUCAUUUAAAGAGUGAGCGACUUAAUUGCUGAGCAACCCAUUGCUGAGAUCGCAAAGAGCAUCAACGCUCAGAAUCAAUCCCUCACAGCCAUCUCGGCCCACCUCAUCCAGCAGGGUGAGAACGGGAAGCCCACCCUCAAGGUCACCCUCAAGACUCCGGCAGAGGCUACUCUCGCGGCAGACAACGGCCUCAGAUGCUUUGGUGUGGCCUGCACACCCCACCAGAUCGCUAGGCAGCGUUAUUUCCGCCUACGUCAGUGUUUUCGGUGUUACCAGUACACCCACUACUCUCAGAAGUGCCCCAACCCGCUGCAGAAAUGCAGCAUCUGUGCUGGCGACCACCAAUACAGGACCUGCAACGCCACUACUCAAUAUUGUAUACUCUGCAACGGCGAUCACACGGCCGUCUCCCACAACUGCCCCACCAGGAAAGGCGAAAUUCAGAAGAUGGUUGACGCCAGGCAAGGAAACUCGACGGCCCAGACCGAAAGCUUUCAACAUACAAGAAGCUUUUCCUGCACUCCGACAAGUGGCGCCACGAGCGGCGCGCAACAAAACUACUGGACCAGCAACCCCCCCCCCCCCCCCCC